rnacentral:rRNA from 1 species
UACGUAGGGGGCGAGCGUUGUCCGGAGUUACUGGGCGUAAAGGGCGCGUAGGCGGAAGCUUAAGUAGUCAGUGAAAGCCCCCGGCUCAACCGGGGAGGGUCUGGCUAGACUGGGCUUCUGGAGGACGGAAGAGGAGAGUGGAAUUGCUGGUGGAGCGGUGGAAUGCGUAGAGAUCAGCAGGAACACCCGUGGCGAAGGCGGCUCUCUGGUCCUGUCCUGACGCUGAGGCGCGAAAGCUGGGGGAG